rnacentral:rRNA from 1 species
GCUAUUUAGGUUAGAGUUUGAUCAUGGCUCAGGACGAACGCUGGCGGCGUGCUUAACACAUGCAAGUCGAGCGGAAAGGCCCCUUUUGGGGGGUACUCGAGCGGCGAACGGGUGAGUAACACGUGAGUGAUCUGCCCCUUACUCUGGGAUAACUGUCUGAAAGGGUGGCUAAUACCGGAUGUGACUGCGUCCUGCAUGGGGUGUGGUGGAAAGCUUCUCUCUUUUUGGGGGUUGUGGUGGGGGAUGUGCUCGCGGCCUAUCAGCUUGUUGGUGGGGUAAUGGCCUACCAAGGCUUUGACGGGUAGCCGGCCUGAGAGGGUGACCGGCCACACUGGGACUGAGACACGGCCCAGACUCCUACGGGAGGCAGCAGUGGGGAAUAUUGGACAAUGGGCGGAAGCCUGAUCCAGCAACGCCGCGUGAGGGAUUACGGCCUUCGGGUUGUAAACCUCUUUCAGCACAGACGAAGCUGUUCUCACGUGUGGGGGUGGUGACGGUAUGUGCAGAAGAAGCACCGGCCAACUA